GGAAUCUGGGGCCCAGGCUCUUCCCCGCCUUGGACCACAGAGGGAGGCGAGAAAAGCCCGGCACCGGGUCACGCGUCUGGGCAGGAAGUGACGCACUGGCUCGGUGGCUUCCGCUGCAGACGGCCUGUACGCUCUCGGUUCCUGCCCUUCCUCCUCCUCCUCCCUCAAUCACGGCAGAAGCACACAGGACCUGCCGGGAAGCCACGGGCGCAACGAGAAGCAGCCUCGCGAGAUCCCACGAAGGCCAAGGGUGCAUCAGGUGAUGCUGAGAGAGGCCCAAGGGCGACCCCCACGGCCCACCCCCACCAUGAAGUCAGCCGGUGGAGGCGGGGUGGGGGCUGGAGGCAGAGCCAAGUUCUGGUGGCACUGCCGGUGAGGCGGAUUUUACAGCCUGGCCGAGUCUACCAUGCCCCCACGUGUGGAGCAGGUGCACACGGUGCGUCCUCUGGUCACAGUGGGCGGGCUGCAGCAUUUGACACUGGUGCAGCGUAGCCAUGGCAAACCGUCAGCAUAAAUAAUUUGGCAUAAGUAGAAUAUAAAUUAUUCCGAAGUGGCGAUCUCGUUUCCUUCUCUUGUCCUCCCUCGUGUGGGUCUCCCUGGACUCUCUGGCCCGGCUCCCACACAGGAUGGCGGGGGCAGACUCUGACACCACACAGUCCUCCAGAUGCGGGGCCCACAGUCCAGGACGCCGUCCCCUUGUGUGGGUCCCCGCCGUGCCCCGGAAGGGGCGACCUGCACAAACCUUCAUCAAACCUGCGUGCCCCGGUCAGUCUCAUCAGCAUUUGUGGCACAAAGACCGUGGCGAGGGAGUCGGAGGCGCGGGCGCUGCAGGACGAGGGCGUGCCUGCCCAAAGCCGGGCCUUGCGGUCACUCGGCACCUGCCGCGUGGGCGGCUGCCACGCUCCUCGCCCCACAGGCCUGGGUGCCUGGAAUCGGGGCUGCCACGCCUCUGUGCUGUCUGCUCCCAAGUCCUCCUUCCACGUGGACCCUGAGCGGUCCGGCCACCCAGAAGCACUUGCUUGCCGGAAAGUGCUGGCCGAGAGGAGGCUCGGGGAAGGCUGCUCUGGGGGACGUCUGUGCUCGGGUCCACGGAGCUGGAAUGUCAGGUGAUCAGUCCGGGACAGAGUGGGGGCCACGCCUCGCGUCCCACUGCUGCCCCCAGGUCUGGGCUACGAGGGCCUCAGAGCUUCUUUGGAGAGCCGAUCAUGACCUUGGACACAAAGUUGACAAUGGCGCUGGCUGGCUGCUCGGGGUCGUGCUCUGCGAACAGGUGGCACACGUUGUCCGUGGCGCUGCCCUGCUUCCGGGCCACGAAUCCAAAGACUCUGCAAAAAAGAGGCUCCAGGUCAGGGCGUCCGCCGUGCACGGGGCCCCAGGCGUCCCCCGCGCACAGGCCCCAGGUGUCCACCGUGCACAGGCCCCAGGUGUCCACCACGCACAGGGUCCCAGGCGUUCACCGUGCACAGGGUCCCAGGCGUCCACCGCGCACAGGCCCCAGGUGUCCACCGUGCACAGGCCCCAGGUGUCCACCACGCACAGGGUCCCAGGGUCCCAGGCGUUCACCGUGCACAGGGUCCCAGGCAUUCACCGUGCACAGGGUCCCAGGCGUCCACCGUGCACAGGCCCCAGGCGUCCCCUGCGCACAGGCCCCAGGCAUCCACUGCGCACAGGCCCCAGGCGUCCACCGCGCACAGGCCCCAGGCGUCCCCCGCGCACAGGCCCCAGGCGUCCACCAUGCACAGGCCCCAGGCGUCCACAGCGCACAGGCCCCAGGCGUCCACCGCGCACAGGCCCCAGGCUUCUGCUUCCUGCGACCACAGGCAGCACCACGGGAAGAAUGGCACGUCUACGCCUGCCAAGCACCGGGCGGCUACGUGUGCAGGUUCCGGACCUGCGGCUAAGCCUCAGAGCUGCCCUGCAGGUGAGGGCGUGGGAUGCUGAUGGAUGUGGCUGCCCCAGUCACACGCCAGCAGGGCCAGGAUCCUCAGAUCCCGAGGAGUGGGUGAAGCCCUGGGGAGGGGUCCGGGGCCUCUGGGAGAUGCUGACUCCACACGCACACCCCCCAGAGGGAAACACACAGGGUGUGUGUGGGUAUGCACGGGGUGCGUGUGUGGCUACACAUGGGGUGCGUGUGUGGCUACGCACGGGCACGGCUCGGGACCCUGCUGAAAGCACUGAGCCGCCACCACUGCAGGCUGUCCAAGCCCUCCACUGCACACAGCCACGCCCGCAGCCCAGGCCAGCCUUGUCCAUCUUCCUGGGAAACACGACAGGCGUGUUCCCUCCGCUCAGCGGCCCUGCAGGGACGGGGCCCAUGGCAUGCAGAAGCCCAAGCCCCUGCCGGGCAGAGGGGGCCGUGUCCGGGCUGGGGAGGCCCGGCACCGAGCAGAAACCCCAGCUAGGGACGCCCUGGAGUGGAAGGCGAGGGCGGCGUCCCCUCCUCCUGCCACGGGGCCUGGCGCACGCAGCGGAGUGGAGCAGCUUCCUCCGGAGAGGCCUCUCGGGCAGGCCAGGCACUCACUUGGAGGAGGUGGGGCUGUCCUUGAUCCACCUGGCAAGUUAA
ensembl:lncRNA